ACGCUCGACACCUACGGGGGCAGCAGUGGGGAAUAUUGCACAAUGGGGGAAACCCUGAUGCAGCGACGCCGCGUGAGUGAAGAAGUAAUUCGUUAUGUAAAGCUCUAUCAGCAGGGAAGAAAGUGACGGUACCUGAGUAAGAAGCCCCGGCUAACUACGUGCCAACAGCCGCGGUAAUCUGAGCGGGCUGGCAAGGC
rnacentral:rRNA from 1 species